ensembl:lncRNA
CAGCCUAAACCAUUCUGAAUUGGAGGAUAAUGGUCUGGUCUUGGUUCUCCAAUAGGCUACUCUUUCCCACAUGAACAGGAUGACAAGAUUUCUUUUGAGAUGAAGGACAUUUAAAGGUGUCAUCAAUACUCAACAGUGGGAAAUAUUUUAAGAACAACCACCAACACCACUACCCUGGAGACACUUUUCUAUCAUCCUACAUGGGCCACCACAAAAAUAAAUCAAACAAGUAAAAGAAAGAAAAAUAAAGACACAGACCAAUUAAGAAGACUGGUUUAUUUUUUAGGAGAAUUCACACGGAAGCUUGAUUUUUCCAUGAACAAAUCAAUCAACCAAAUGUGUUGGAGACAUUGUCAUGUUCACCACACAGACCGUAAAUGACAACCCCAAGGAUAUUGGAAGAGCCACGUGAAAUCUUUGAGGAGCUUUGAUUUGCAAUACGCCAGCUUGCAUCUUGUCCUUGACAAUACAGUAAAAAAUAAGCAAUUGAUGUUAUAGAUUACAUUUCAUGAUGCUGUUUCCCUGAGCAUGCCCCAGACAGCUUCCUGUAUGCAAAUGUCCAUCCCAGAGUCUGUUCUCCUGGGAACCUGAUCUACAGCAGUUGGUGCCAGGAAUGCACUAUGAAAGAAGAAUCUAAAAUGGGAAAUUUGGAACCUAAUAACCACUGGCCUAAUGACAAAAUGCACCUUCACUGGUAAUCAGCGGAGUAUAGAUAGCACCUGGUGUGCCACAGCCGAGCGGUAGCUGAAACUCUCCAGUGGUGAACUGGGAUGAGCUACUGAAAUGGUUCUCAAUGGUGUGUUAUUACCUCUUGCUCAAUCCCUAGGAUAUUUGACAAAGUUGGGAGAUAAUUUUGCUAGUUAUGACCGGGGGUAGGGUAGGAGGAGGGAGUGGUGCUUUUGUCAUCUAGUGGAUGAUGUUAAAUAUUCUACAAUGCAGCCCCUCUCCCCCAACAAAGAAUUAUCCUGUCCAAAAUGUCAAUAAUGUCAAGGAUGAAAAACCAUGCAUUUGCUGGCAAAAUAUUUCAGGUGUUUGAGAGGUCGGGGGAUAUUAGUAAGUAUAAGAACAAUAGACCGAGAUGUUACUUACUGCGAAAGUUUGAGGAUGACUAAUCAUCAAUUUAAGGCAAAGUGUGAGAGUCAAGAACCCCUUGGCAGCAUAUAAAGAAAGUCACAUCUCCUGCAGUAAACCUUGGCAUCAGGCCCAGGGCUUAAUUAUAAGGUAGUUGAACUCCAGAGUAGUUUGAAUUCUCAACCUAAACAAGUCUGCUCUGUCAAUUUUAGAGCCAAGAUCAGGAGAAGUGGAACCUCAGGCUUGGGAUGUGACAUUUGGGUUGACUCACUUGAAAGCCUUGAAGCCCAGAUUCCCCCACCUCUCUUGGCCUGCAUAUGACCUCUCUUAUGGCACUCUGCCUGCUUUCCCCACUCACUCGAAGAUGAUACAGAACACUGCCUUAUAAGACAACAUGUGCUCCCCUUAGGAUUUACUCCUCCCUCCCUUCCUGACAACCAGAUCAAUGACUAAAAUUGAGUAAUGACAAAACCCAGCCAAUAAAGUACUGAGUUUGCUAGAGGAGAAAAGGGACUACAUGUGGAAGAAGUUGCAGUACCUAGACAACUUGAACAGAAUUGUAUAUGUGGGACUUGAUCCUGAUGAUGCUGGAUCAAGGGGGACAGACUAUAAAUUUGGAUAAGUGAGAGAUAUUAAUAUCAAUGUACUCUUCUGUAACACAGGAUAUAAUAUUUGAAAAGGCCCUUAGGAGAUGGUGCUAAUCCACUGCUAGGCUGGCUCUAGGAAGCUUGGAAAAUGGAGACUGUCAUUAAGUGAAGCAGAAAUGCCAGAAUUGCCAUAGUAGGUGGUGGAUGAAGGGAUCAAAAGGCCCAGAGAAGUGGGAGGGCCACAGUGGAUAUGUUCCACUCUACGAGGCUACUGUUAUUGUAGGAUUCUACUGCCCCCAGUGCUAUCAGGGAGCCCAGGUCUGUAACAACUUCUCCUAUCAUCAGUCCUGGCCUAGAUAGGACUACCACCACUGAUAGAUUCUCUGCAAUGCUGGUGCCCCUCCUACCUUAUUGCUUAACAAACAGUGUCUUCCGGGCUGGUGGAUUUUCUGAAUUUAAGUGUCAGCUCGAAGCCCAUGUUCAUUCUUCUACAUCGAACUGCUUCUUAAAUAACAACACCAACAACAAAAUAAUAAGAAACCAGAUAAAACAAACAAACAAAAAACCUCAGCAAGUUCCUCAUCCUAUGCCAUCAUCCUAUAACCCUGAGGCAGUCAUGCCACUUAGAAGACCGGAAAACCCAUCGCGAGUUGACCCAGGCUGCCUUUUCAUUGUCGUAUCAUCGGAGAAACCUGCUCCUGUACUUUCUCUCUUGAGGGUGAAAAAAAAAUCUCCCCUUGUCUUCACAUUCUUUCACAGCUACUUCUAUUUGUCUAUGCCCAUAUUCCUGGGUGCUCUCCUGGCCUACUCUGCCUAACUUUUAAGAUUAGAGGAGAGAAAGCAUUUCAAGACAUUAAUCUCCUAUACAUUUCAAGAUGUUAAUCUCUAGAAAUUUCAUAUUAGGAAAUAUCUUUAAUCCCAGUCUACUG